rnacentral:rRNA from 1 species
AACGAACGCUGGCGGCAUGCCUAACACAUGCAAGUCGAACGAACCCUUCGGGGUUAGUGGUGCACGGGUGCGUAACACGUGGGAAUCUGCCCUUUGCUUCGGAAUAACAGUUAGAAAUGACUGCUAAUACCGGAUGAUGUCGCAAGACCAAAGAUUUAUCGGCAAAGGAUGAGCCCGCGUAGGAUUAGCUAGUUGGUGGGGUAAAGGCCUACCAAGGCGACGAUCCUUAGCUGGGCUGAGAGGAUGAUCAGCCACACUGGGACUGAGACACGGCCCAGACUCCUACGGGAGGCAGCAGUGGGGAAUAUUGGACAAUGGGCGAAAGCCUGAUCCAGCAAUGCCGCAUGAGUGAUGAAGGCCUUCGGGUUGUAAAGCUCUUUUACCAGGGAUGAUAAUGACAGUACCUGGAGAAUAAGCUCCGGCUAACUCCGUGCCAGCCGCCGCCGUAA